GGGGAUGAUCGGUUUCGACGCCGGCUGUUGAGCCGGGAGAAGCGGGCCGAGAAUGCAGAGUCAACUCGUUAAUGUCCUCUGCAAACCAAUAGGUGCUGAAUCCAAAACUCGCACCGAUUUCGCCCUCGCUGCCUGACAGCGAGCUGAGCGAAUCCGUCAGCCCGGGGUAGCUUUCGCCCCGGAUUCUGGCGUCAGCUAGAAAGCCACUGCUGUUGACAUUCGUCGAGGGUGUCAGCGGGACUCUUACUCGACUCCGUCCGUUGGUCUACGUGUUCGUGCGGUGACCAGGACCUAAGAAACUCUUCACGGACUGCGCCCGGAGAAGACCCAGCGAUGAGUCGGCGGACGCGGGUUCGAUUCCCGCCAUCUCCACAU
rfam:Brevibacterium yomogidense strain B Co 03.10 genome assembly, contig: Scaffold15